UCAAAACUUUCCGCACUUCUGAGAUGCGGUCCUCGUCUGAAGAAUCCGCUCGGAGGGAUAUGAAUUCAGUGGAGGUAACUCGGAAAACUUCAGACUCCUGGAUUUUUCCAACAGACAUGCAUCCAGUCACGAGAACCAGAGACACACUGGAGGGGGCAGGGUGGAGAGAAAGAGACAGCCGCAGCACUGCUCUCACGCUAGUGAAGCUUCCAGCCCUGCAGGUGGAGAGCAGGGGCUUGAACCCAGCCUCAAACACUUGUUUGUUUCACUAGAUGUCCCACACAGACUUUUU